AGAGUUUGAUCAUGGCUCAGGAUGAACGCUAGCUACAGGCUUAACACAUGCAAGGUCGAGGGGAAACGACAUCGAAAGUCUUGUCUUUUGAUGGGCGUCGACCGGCGCACGGGUGAGUAACGCGUAUCCAACCUGCCCACCACUUGGGGAUAACCUUGCGAAAGUAAGACUAAUACCCAAUGACGUCUCUAGAAGACAUCUGAAAGAGAUUAAAGAUUUAUCGGUGAUGGAUGGGGAUGCGUCUGAUUAGCUUGUUGGCGGGGUAACGGCCCACCAAGGCGACGAUCAGUAGGGGUUCUGAGAGGAAGGCCCCCCACAUUGGAACUGAGACACGGUCCAAACUCCUACGGGAGGCAGCA
rnacentral:rRNA from 1 species